GUGAUCCGAUAGUAGGUAACCUGAUAAAAGUAACAAACUCUUAUUAGGAUAGAGUCGGAAUUGGACUUAAGUCUAGUUCAACUUUACAAAACCAACUUAUAAGAUAAUGUUUAGAUCCAUUAUGAAAUAUUUUUAUAUCUAGAUGUGAAAUUUUCAAAAAAAAUCCAAUCAAAUGCAUAUAGUCACUCAACUUUAAAUACUCGACUUAGAAGAUCUAAACAAUUAUUUUUAAAUUCCAAAGAACCAUUCCUCUUUGUACUUAUCUUCACUUUUAAUUAACCUUCUUCAAAGAUAUCUAUAAUAGCAUCUAUUCAAAGAUAUCUAUAAUAGCAUCUAUUAUUUUGAGUGUUUAGAAAUGACUAUGUCAAUAGUUUAAUGAAAUCUUUAAUAUUUUUUUUUAUAUAAUAAGCAAUUCAACAUAAAUGCGCUUGAAAAAACUCGUAAGGUAUUAUGCUUAUAUUUUGUGUGGUUUUGAGUUUGUGGUGAUAAAGGACCAUGUAAGCUUCAUUCUUGGUAGAUAUAGAUGUAAUUGCUAGUUAGCAUUGAACAUGACGUUGCUUGUUACUUGAAGUUUGGGUUAUGAUGAGGAUAAGGUAUUAUUAAUGUAGAAUCCAAACAAAAAUAGGUGAUGGAUACAGUUCAAAAAGUGGGAAGCAAUUAUGAUUUUUCCUAUAUGUUUGUAGGGAAGGCAACUUGGAGAAAAAACAAGGAAAUUUGAACCUUACCUCUCAACUUGCUCAAGUUGUUUUCUUUGCUUUUUACCUACUCACUUUUGCAUUGCACUUCAUCAAACAAUUGGUUGAUUUGAAUUCUUUGUGUGAUCAAAACAGGCUUAUACAACUAUAAUGUAUGCAACAAUGAUUUAAUUAGCUCAUGGAAACACUACAAAUAACUAACCUUAUCUCACUUUUU
rnacentral:lncRNA from 1 species